AGUCGCAGGCUGCUGAAAUAGAUACUUCUCCUUUUUUCUCUCUCUGUUUUUUUGCCCCUGUUCCCCUCCCUGAUUUUUCAAUCAGAUUAUUUGUGUCAAAAUCUGGCGGUGAAGAAACAACCAAUAGAGAAGCAGAGCCCAGACAGUAUUUGCUUAUCAAAACUUUCCAGGACUUUGAAAACUUGAAGAGAAUUCACGAUGCCCAGCUCGAAACCCUGGCAGCAGCACCCUUCACUCUCUGGGGCAGCUUCGCCUUCUGCAGGAAUACUCCUUAUUGACACAGAGCAUGACACGGUGAAAUAAGUUUCCACCUUGCAAAUUUAAUGUCUGUGAUUCCUACUGGCAUCUGAGGAGAAUUCAAAUGGAUUGAGGAGUCAGAUCAGCAGCUGCAUCCUUGGUGCAUCCCCAUGGAACUGCCCUCGGAGAAUGGGGAACACCAAGACCUGGGGAUUGACACACUGAGCCGAAAACCUGCUGGCUAUGGCACACCUGACUAAAAGCUGGACAACAUUCCCCAAGCAUAUUCACGCAUAGUAAAAACCGCUUCCAGGCCGCAGCUUAACACCGGGCUCACGGCGUGGCCCGCGGCCCCUCCUGCC